rnacentral:rRNA from 1 species
GACGAACGCUGGCGGCGUGCCUAAUACAUGCCAGUCGAACGCUUCUUUCCUCCCGAGUGCUUGCACUCAAUUGGAAAGAGGAGUGGCGGACGGGUGAGUAACACGUGGGUAACCUACCCAUCAGAGGGGGAUAACACUUGGAAACAGGUGCUAAUACCGCAUAACAGUUUAUGCCGCAAGGCAUAAGAGUGAAAGGCGCUUUCGGGUGUCGUUGAUGGAUGGACCCGCGGUGCAUUAGCUAGUUGGUGAGGUAACGGCUCACCAAGGCCACGAUGCAUAGCCGACCUGAGAGGGUGAUCGGCCACACUGGGACUGAGACACGGCCCAGACUCCUACGGGAGGCAGCAGUAGGGAAUCUUCGGCAAUGGACGAAAGUCUGACCGAGCAACGCCGCGUGAGUGAAGAAGGUUUUCGGAUCGUAAAACUCUGUUGUUAGAGAAGAACAAGGACGUUAGUAACUGAACGUCCCCUGACGGUAUCUAACCAGAAAGCCACGGCUAACUACGUG